rnacentral:rRNA from 1 species
CUGCAGUGCAAGUCUGCUGUGAAAUCCAGGCGCUUAACGUCUGGACGUGCAGCAGAUACCGCACGGCUUGGGACCGGACGGCGUCGAGGCUAUUCCAGGAGUAGGAGUGAAAUCCAAAAAUUCCUGGAGGAGCACCUGUGGCGAAAGCGCUCGACGAGUACGGAUCCGACGGUGAGGGACGAAAGCCAGGGGAGCAAAGGGGAUUAGAUACCCUCGUAGUCCUGGCCGUAAACAAUGUGCGUUUGAUGUCGGACAACCUCCGAGGUUGUCCGGUGCCGAAGUAAAAACGUUAAACGCACCGCCUGGGUA